AUAAACAAAAUUAUAUUAAAAUGAGAUAGUAAAAUUUAACAUGUAUCAAUGCACUAGAAUCAAUCUGGAUUAUUACUAAAUAAUUAGUGGAUUUGCCAUGCACGUCUCAUUGAAAGAAAAAAAAAAUUGGUAUCACUUUAAAUGAGAUACUAAUAAUUAAUUAUUAAACUGCAUUUUAUUAAAAAAGAAAAAACCUAAAAAAAACCCUUGCAAGCACAAGAAAAGCAGACUAAGGGCCGAGCC
rnacentral:lncRNA from 1 species